rnacentral:rRNA from 1 species
GUGUCAGCAGCCGCGGUAAGACAGAGGGUGCAAACGUUGUUCGGAAUCACUGGGCGUAAAGCGCGUGUAGGCGGCUAUGUAAGUCGGACGUGAAAUCCCACGGCUCAACCGUGGAAGUGCGCUCGAAACUGUGUAGCUUGAGUCCUGGAGAGGAAGACGGAAUACUUGGUGUAGAGGUGAAAUUCGUAGAUAUCAGGUAGAACACCAGUGGCGAAGGCGGUCUUCUGGACAGUGACUGACGCUGAGACGCGAAAGCGUGGGGAGCAAACAGGAUUAGAUACCCUCGUAGUCC